GAUGAACGCUGGCGGCGUGCCUAAUACAUGCAAGUCGAGCGAACAGACGAGGAGCUUGCUCCUCUGACGUUAGCGGCGGACGGGUGAGUAACACGUGGAUAACCUACCUAUAAGACUGGGAUAACUUCGGGAAACCGGAGCUAAUCCCGGAUAAUAUAUUGAACCGCAUGGUUCAAUAGUGAAAGACGGUUUUGCUUUCACUUAUAGAUGGAUCCGCGCCGCAUUAGCUAGUUGGUAAGGUAACGGCUUACCAAGGCAACGAUGCGUAGCCGACCUGAGAGGGUGAUCGGCCACACUGGAACUGAGACACGGUCCAGACUCCUACGGGAGGCAGCAGUAGGGAAUCUUCCGCAAUGGGCGAAAGCCUGACGGAGCAACGCCGCGUGAGUGAUGAAGGUCUUCGGAUCGUAAAACUCUGUUAUUAGGGAAGAACAAAUGUGUAAGUAACUAUGCACGUCUUGACGGUACCUAAUCAGAAAGCCACGGCUAACUACGUG
rnacentral:rRNA from 1 species